CCCAACCCCACUGGCCUGGAGGAACGUUUGGAGCAGCCUGGCAGUGAGAUCCUUUUGGUAGCUUCCAAGGAUUUUUGGGAUCAUGGGAUACAUGGACAUACAGACCCAUGAAGCCCUCUGGAGAAUGCUGGCUGUGGAUAAAAGCAUCUUCCAGUUCCUACCAUCUUUUUACCCUGUUUUUUUCCUGGGUCACCAUGUGCCAUUUGGGAAGGAAGCCUCUCUGUCCUGAGGAUUAUAGUGUACUGGUCACUCACUGGAAUACCUCCCCAGUCAUCUUUUGGAGAUGAAGCCAUUCCUUUACCGAGCUGGAAGAUAUUUUUUCUUCUCCCAGAGCUUUUCCAGAGUAGCAGCACUCCUGUCCAGCGGGUCUCCGUUAACUGCGAAAAGGAGCAAGGAGGAGCAAGUGGAAGGGAAGUCAGAUCCUGCCGGGGUUUCCUGGGAAAUGAGGUGUAUCCACUCUUUGGAUGAUGAAGCUUGAUGAGCUCCAGUUUGGCUUGGAUUACAAUAUUUCAGAAGACUUUCUGAACUUGCCAGGCAACCCUCCCUCUUUGAGGACAGUGGAGCUUAAGUUUAUAUCUCCGGUAUCACACAGGAGAAAGAGCAUUGCUUGGCUGCUUUGCACAAGUAAUGAAAAUCAGUGCUGUGUUGCCAUUCGAAGGAAUGCUCAAAAGGGAAAAGCCUGGAAUAUAGAUCUUGUAUUAGAGACAGAUUUUGUCUGGGGAGAGGUUGCCUGCCUAAGGGAAGAUGCAGGAAGAAAGAGGAGAGGUGAUGCUACAAGCCAGCUUCCUGACUUCCAGAGUGGGACUGGAGCUUCGUAAUAAGAUUUAUCUGGAAAGUAUGACCGGCAGGAGCAGCUUACUCACCAUUAGAUAAGUAUUACAGAUGACUCAUGCAGUAUUGAUAGCUGUGCAGCUGAGAGGAAUAUACUGUUUUAUAACAGCUGUCAUGUGAUGCCAAGAGCCAGAAACCUUAAUUUCACCAUCCAUGCAUUUCCAUGAACGUGCUUGGGUCUCUGGCACCUUUUGUCCUUCUUCUUUUGUCCGUACAAAGGGUUCACAGAAGAAGUUCUGCUUCCCUCAGUGGGGUACAGGGUAUGGGGCAGCUCAUGUAAUUUCAAAUUGUCACCUUGAAAUGAAAGCUAGUGUUGAAAGGCUGCAGUGUUGUAGCUGUUCUCCGGGACCUGAAAUUUUUGUCUUUUUAAUAGAUAUCAUAAGUGGAUUUCCUUGAUUCUUUGGGGUUUUUUUUUGUUUUGUUUUGUUUUUUUUGUGUUUCCAGAGCCAUUACACUCCUUCUCCAGCAUGACAAACCAGAAGGUGCAGAAACAGCAGCUAUGUGGGAGACCAGAAAGCUGGCUGAGAUGUGGACUCCUGCACUCUGGAUGUCUGAAGCUGCAUGAGGUGAACUCCCCUCUCACUGCUUGCAUGAGUGAGAAGGAGUUACUAGAACAAAGCACCUAAUGCAGAGCCAUCUGACACCACAGAAGAUGAAAAUAAUAUGGAAACUUUAAUCAGCUCUCAGCAGCUGAGCAGUCUCUGGAGGUCCUUGUACCAAGCCUGACCCACUUGCUGAACCCCAGCAGUGCAGCACUGGGUGCUCCACAUGCCUUCAGAAGAAUGAAAGGACAGCAAUCUGAAAAGAGACAAGGGGAUGGCAGUCAGUGGUAAGUGUUUAUUUAGAAAGAGUUGGAGCAUUUUGUUCAU